rnacentral:snRNA from 1 species
CAUCUUACCUGGCAGGGGAGACACUGUGAUCUCAAAGGUAGUUUUUCUAGGAUGGGGCUUAUCCAUUGCAUUCUGGGAUGUGCUGAACCCUGCAAUUUCCUCAAAC